rnacentral:lncRNA from 1 species
AGUGGUGUGGUGUUUCUUGUCUUUAUGCUUUGAAAAAAUAUGUAAAUUAGGUAUCAUUCGGAUUACAUAUAGUAUAGUAAAUUAUUCUAGGAUGGCAGGACACGCAGAAUAGCUCAGUGCACUGGUUACAUGCUUUCACUCACCUGCCACCAUCUUUUUGCUCCACCUGUCGAGCUUCUGAAAACACAGUAGUGAAGGCCUAGAAGAACCAUUAGCAUGACAGUACAAUGAAAAGCUAAAAAAAUUGAUCUAGGGUAGGCAAAUAAAGAUCGUUAGUUAAUUCCUACUACUUCAAGCUAGCAUAUAAGACCUUAAAG